rnacentral:rRNA from 1 species
AAAUUGACGGGGCCCGCACAAGCGGUGGAGCAUUGUGGUUUAAUUCGAAGCAACGCGAAGAACCUUACCAGGUCUUGACAUCCCGAUGCUAUUUCUAGAGAUAGAAAGUUACUUCGGUACAUCGGUGACAGGUGGUGCAUGGUUGUCGUCAGCUCGUGUCGUGAGAUGUUGGGUUAAGUCCCGCAACGAGCGCAACCCCUAUUGUUAGUUGCCAUCAUUCAGUUGGGCACUCUAGCGAGACUGCCGGUAAUAAACCGGAGGAAGGUGGGGAUGACGUCAAAUCAUCAUGCCCCUUAUGACCUGGGCUACACACGUGCUACAAUGGUUGGUACAACGAGUUGCGAGUCGGUGACGGCGAGCUAAUCUCUUAAAGCCAAUCUCAGUUCGGAUUGUAGGCUGCAACUCGCCUACAUGAAGUCGGAAUCGCUAGUAAUCGCGGAUCAGCACGCCGCGGUGAAUACGUUCCCGGGCCUU